rnacentral:rRNA from 1 species
ACGAACGCUGGCGGCACGCUUAACACAUGCAAGUCGAACGGCAACGGGUCCUUCGGGAUGCCGGCGAGUGGCGAACGGGUGAGUAACACGUGGAGACCUACCCUGGGGUGGGGGAUAACAGCUAGAAAUGGCUGCUAAUACCGCAUACGCCUUACGAGGGAAAGAUUUAUUGCCCCAGGAGGGUUCCGCGUCGGAUUAGCUAGUUGGUGGGGUAACGGCCUACCAAGGCGAUGAUCCGUAGCUGGUCUUAGAGGAUGAUCAGCCACGCUGGGACUGAGACACGGCCCAGACUCCUACGGGAGGCAGCAGUGGGGAAUAUUGCGCAAUGGAGGCAACUCUGACGCAGCGAUGCCGCGUGGGUGAAUAAGGCCUUAGGGUUGUAAAGCCCUUUCAGUGGGAAAGAUGAUGACGGUACCCACAGAAGAAGCCCCGGCUAACUCCGU